CACGUAGGGUGCGAGCGUUGUCCGGAAUUAUUGGGCGUAAAGAGCUCGUAGGCGGUGUGUCGCGUCGGCCGUGAAAACCUGCAGCUUAACUGUGGGCGUGCGGGCGAUACGGGCAGACUAGAGUACUGCAGGGGAGACUGGAAUUCCUGGUGUAGCGGUGGAAUGCGCAGAUAUCAGGAGGAACACCGGUGGCGAAGGCGGGUCUCUGGGCAGUAACUGACGCUGAGGAGCGAAAGCGUGGGGAGCGAACAGG
rnacentral:rRNA from 1 species